ensembl:lncRNA
AAGGAACUCAGAACUGAAGAAGCUUCUCGGAUGAGAGGUGAAACGUCUUCAAGCAACUUAAAGAAGUCCAGACGCUUUUCUUUUCAAGCUCUUUAGACUAGCAAAAUUGCUAGAAUACUCGAAAAUUAGAUCUCCUCGUAGGCUAUAUUAUUUGCAACCAAAAUAGUUUUGUCUUAAAAUGAGAGCUCAUAAUACGUUUACAAUGAUGAAAAUGACUUUCAAGUGCCUCUGUAUUAGAGUUAGCCUCUGUUUUACACAUUCGUGUCUGUGAUGUAAAACUUACAUAUUAUUAUUAUUAUUGAUAAUAAUAAUAAUAAUAAUUAUUAUUAUUAUUAUUAUUAUUAUCAUAGGCCCGCAGUUUUGAGGAUGGCAUUUUAAGUCUGUCGUUACAGAUGCUGCGAUACUGCGAUCAAACAGUUGGGUUUUCUUUUCUUUUUCUUUCUUUUUUUUUGUCAAAACGGUUCUUUUACUGUGUUUAACUAGCGGACAUGGAUGCCAUCAUUUACGACGAGCACCUGAAGGCAGCAUUAAGGUCCCGCUCGCUCUCUCAGCCUUGGCAUUACGUCACGCGGUGGUUCAAGCUCCGAUGUUUUCUCUCAACAUCCUUGAAGGCGGCCGUAGGUUUCCAUGGUUACUCUCGCUAGGUAGUGCUUGGUUGCCACCUAAUGGGGAAUUAGAGACAUGCAAGCGCUAAUAACUGGUAAUUGUACUUUUUAGUCUACAUUCCUAUAGGUGAACUUAUUAGAAAGUCAGACUUUAUUGAUCCACACUGGAAAAUUCAGAUACCAGUCAUUAAAUUUAGACUCACUUUUAUUAGUUGGAACAUCAAAGUAAUAUAAAGAAUUCCAGUAUAUUACACAUUCUUCAGAAAUGAAUACUAUAGAAUAAGAUUUUAAGUGUUUUUGUUGUUUGUUUGUUUUUACCUUUGUACUUUUACUUAAGCAAAUGACCUAACACUAAAUAAAUAAAAUCAGAUUUUUUCAGUUUAUUUUUUAUUUACUUUUUAAGGAUGUGUAUAACCUGUUCUUACAAGCCUGGAACUGAUUAUUGGUAGGCUGGUGAGUGUUUCUGAUGAUCCACUGGGUCAUUACACAGCUGCUUAUGAAAUCUGCUUAACUAUGGGGAGGAACUUUGGACUUCACACACCAUCCCCUCAAAGAGCCAUUGUAGUUCAUCAGUGUUACUUGGUAAAUUGACUGGUUCUUAUAUAGGACAUUUCUAUUC